rnacentral:rRNA from 1 species
AUUGAACGCUGGCGGCAGGCCUAACACAUGCAAGUCGAGCGGAUGAAGGGAGCUUGCUCCUGGAUUCAGCGGAGGACGGGUGCGUAAUGCCUAGGAAUCUGCCUGGUAGUGGGGGAUAACGUCCGGAAACGGGCGCUAAUACCGCAUACGUCCUGUGGGGGAAAGUGGGGGAUCUUCGGACCUCACGCUAUCAGAUGAGCCUAGGUCGGAUUAGCUAGUUGGUGGGGUAAAGGCCUACCAAGGCGACGAUCCGUAACUGGUCUGAGAGGAUGAUCAGUCACACUGGAACGGAGACACGGUGCAGACUCCUACGGGAGGCAGCAGUGGGGAAUAUUGGACAAUGGGCGAAAGCCUGAUCCAGCCAUGCCGCGUGUGUGAAGAAGGUCUUCGGAUUGUAAAGCACUUUAAGUUGGGAGGAAGGGCAGUAAGUUAAUACCUUGCUGUUUUGACGUUACCAACAGAAUAAGCACCGGCUAACUUCGUG